ACGAACGCUGGCGGCGUGCUUAACCCAUGCAAGUCGAACGGAAAGGCCCUGCUUUUGUGGGGUGCUCGAGUGGCGAACGGGUGAGUAACACGUGAGUAACCUGCCCUUGACUUUGGGAUAACUUCAGGAAACUGGGGCUAAUACCGGAUAGGAGCUCCUGCUGCAUGGUGGGGGUUGGAAAGUUUCGGCGGUUGGGGAUGGACUCGCGGCUUAUCAGCUUGUUGGUGGGGUAGUGGCUUACCAAGGCUUUGACGGGUAGCCGGCCUGAGAGGGUGACCGGCCACAUUGGGACUGAGAUACGGCCCAGACUCCUACGGGAGGCAGCAGUGGGGAAUAUUGCACAAUGGGCGGAAGCCUGAUGCAGCAACGCCGCGUGCGGGAUGACGGCCUUCGGGUUGUAAACCGCUUUCGCCUGUGACGAAGCGUGAGUGACGGUAGUGGGUAAAGAAGCACCGGCUAACUACGUG
rnacentral:rRNA from 1 species